rnacentral:rRNA from 1 species
GACGAACGCUGGCGGCGUGCUUAACACAUGCAAGUCGAACGCUGAAGCACCAGCUUGCUGGUGUGGAUGAGUGGCGAACGGGUGAGUAAUACGUGAGUAACCUGCCCUUGACUCUGGGAUAAGCCCGGGAAACUGGGUCUAAUACUGGAUGCUACAUGUCACCGCAUGGUGGUGUGUGGAAAGGGUUUACUGGUCUUGGAUGGGCUCACGGCCUAUCAGCUUGUUGGUGAGGUAAUGGCUCACCAAGGCGACGACGGGUAGCCGGCCUGAGAGGGUGACCGGCCACACUGGGACUGAGACACGGCCCAGACUCCUACGGGAGGCAGCAGUGGGGAAUAUUGCACAAUGGGCGAAAGCCUGAUGCAGCGACGCCGCGUGAGGGAUGACGACCUUCGGGUUGUAAACCUCUUUCAGCAGGGAAGAAGCCACAAGUGACGGUACCUGCAGAAGAAGCGCCGGCUAACUACGUG